AGAGUUUGAUCAUGGCUCAGGACGAACGCCGGGCGGCGUGCUUAACACAUGCAAGUCGAACGGAGUUUAGUGAGAAGCUUGCCUCUUGCUAGACUUAGUGGCGGACGGGUGAGUAACGCGUGGGCAAUCUGCCCGUAAGAGGGGGAUAACACCUAGAAAUGGGUGCUAAUACCGCAUAACAUCAUAGGGUUGCAUGACCCGAUGAUCAAAGGAGAAAUCCGCUUACGGAUGAGCCCGCGUCUGAUUAGCUAGUUGGUGGGGUAACGGCCUACCAAGGCGACGAUCAGUAGCCGGCCUGAGAGGGUGACCGGCCACACUGGAACUGAGACACGGUCCAGACUCCUACGGGAGGCAGCAGUGGGGAAUCUUCCGCAAUGGGCGAAAGCCUGACGGAGCAACGCCGCGUGAGUGAUGAAGGCCUUCGGGUUGUAAAACUCUGUCUUCAGGGAAGAAACAAAUGACGGUACCUGAGGAGGAAGCCACGGCUAACUACGUGCCAGCAGCCGCGGUAAUACGUAGGUGGCAAGCGUUGUCCGGAAUUACUGGGCGUAAAGAGCGCGUAGGCGGGGAUUUAAGUCAGGAGUGAAAACUACCGGCUCAACCGGUAGCCUGCUCUUGAAACUGAAUUUCUUGAGGGUAUGAGAGGAAAGCGGAAUUCCCAGUGUAGCGGUGAAAUGCGUAGAUAUUGGGAGGAACACCAGUGGCGAAGGCGGCUUUCUGGCAUACAACUGACGCUGAGGCGCGAAAGCGUGGGGAGCAAACGGGAUUAGAUACCCCGGUAGUCCACGCCGUAAACGAUGGGCACUAGGUGUAGGAGGUAUCGACCCCUUCUGUGCCGUAGUUAACACAAUAAGUGCCCCGCCUGGGGAGUACGGCCGCAAGGUUGAAACUCAAAGGAAUUGACGG
rnacentral:rRNA from 1 species